rnacentral:rRNA from 1 species
UACGUAGGGUGCGAGCGUUAAUAGGAUUUACUGGGCGUAAAGCGUGCGCAGGCGGUUUGUUAAGCGAGAUGUGAAAGCCCCGGGCUCAACCUAGGAAUUGCGCUUGUGACUGGCGGGCUCGAGUACGGUAGAGGGGGGUGGAAUUCCUGGUGUAGCAGUGAAAUGCGUAGAGAUCAGGAGGAACACCGAUGGCGAAGGCAGCCCCCUGGGCCUGUACUGACGCUCAUGCACGAAAGCGUGGGGAGCAAACAGG